rnacentral:rRNA from 1 species
GAAUAUUGGACAAUGGGGGCAACCCUGAUCCAGCCAUGCCGCGUGUGUGAAGAAGGCCUUUUGGUUGUAAAGCACUUUAAGCAGUGAAGAAGACUCCAUGGUUAAUACCCAUGGACGAUGACAUUAGCUGCAGAAUAAGCACCGGCUACCUCUGUGCCAGCAGCCGCGGUAAUACAGAUGGUGCAAGCGUUAAUCGGAAUUACUUGGCGUAAAGAGAGCGUAGGCGGCUUGAUAAGGCAGUUGUGAAAUCCCCGGGCUUAACCUGGGAACUGCAUCUGAUACUGUUAGGCUAGAAUAGGUGAGAGGAAGGUAGAAUUCCAGGUGUAGCGGUGAAAUGCGUAGAGAUCUGGAGGAAUACCGAUGGCGAAGGCAGCCUUCUGGCAUUAUAUUGACACUGAGGUUCGAAAGCGUGGGUAGCAAAC